UGUCAAGCACCAGCAUUAGGAAUUGCAUAGUCUGAUAGACCUUUCAUGCUUUAUGUCCAUGAAAACUUGCCUAAUGCAAGAUCAUGGGGGCAGUUUACGCCCAAUUCAUUACUAUUCUGGUAAACUUGACAUAGUCGCUCAAGGUAUGGGCCCAUGUCUUAGAGCAGUGCAGGCAGUUCAUCUAGCUCUUCAGGCUUCAUCAGGAAUGGUGUUAGGACAGACUGUAAACUUAAGAUUCCCUCAUGCAGUGUCCGCACUAAUGAAUCAAGAAAAGGUCACUUCUGUCACCUCCUCUUGUUGGGGAAAUUGGUUAACAACCCUCACAGCCCCGAACAUUGUUUUACAGCGUGCGCCAGUCACAAACCUAUCCUCAUGUAUGAUGUCUGCAAUGACUGAAGUUGUGUUAGAGGAUGUUGGAGAAAUGACUCAUGAUUGUGUUACACUUACAUACACACCUACGAGUGAAGUAACAGAAACUCCCAUAGAGAAUGCAGAAUUAGAGUUGUUUGUUGAUGUUUAAGCUCAAGUCAUUGAAGGUAACAGACGAGCAGGUUAUGCAGUCAGUUCCACCACUGAAGUGGUAGCUUCAGGUCGUCUUUCAGAUCAUUUUUCAGCUCAAGCUGCAGAACUAGUAGCCUUAACUACACACUAAAAACUGCUGGGUUAUUUUUUUAACCCAUACGCUGGGUUAAGACCGCUGGGUACGAAAACUGGUUGAUUUGACCCAAAUUUGGGUUGGCGACCGUAACCCAACAGUGCUGGGUUGUUCGUGCGGACGUUAAAGAGAGCAUGCACGUCACGUUAAACAAGUUCCGAAGGUUCCCUCAGUGUUGAUAACACUCCGCCUACCGUUUGCGGCUUUUGGCAGAAAUAUGUAUGCGGGAAAAAAAAACUAAAUAGCGUUAAAUGUGAAUAUGCCUGAGGUGAACUUUGGGGGUUAAAUCGGCGUGUAUCCUGCAGUAACCAGUGGGAGGGACAAGUGAGAGGGAAAUUGUAAACUUUCUUAGGACAUGUAAUGAAAACGCUUCACUCAUAGUGUAUUUAAAAUAAGCCUUUUAGUCUUCUUUUCUUGACGACACUUCAAAACCCAACGCAGCGGGCUUAAGGACUAUUUUUUUGUUGGCGAAUGUGCUGCGCAAUUAGUAAACGCAGUCUCCUCAGUGAAGUGAGAGGGCGCGAAAAUUGAAGCAGAGGCUCGGCGUUGGAUUCUUGAGGCCAGAAAAGGUAAGAAGAUGUAAAAUGACUUUAGUAUUUGUUAAAUUGUAUACUUUAUAUUUUAGAUACAUUUUGGUGUAUUAUAAGUUGUUUGUUAUAAUUGCGGUUAUUGAUACGGUCAAGUUGGCCUUGCUGCCCUGAGUUUCUGUUAGCACGAUAAUUUCCCGCCUAGCAAGUGUUCAGUUUGUGACAAUUUUCGUGUAGUUAUUCAUUCAUUACAUCACAAUAUAUUUGUUCACACAGAGACUACUAUAUCAUGUUGACUUCAGUGGAUUUUUAGCUGUCUUAAACGUUAAACCUGCUUUUAAGCAGACAGCCAUGCUUAGACCCAUUAAGAUAACUAACGUAACGUUAAAUCAUGACGUUCAUUUUCAUUUCUCUUGAAUAAAUCAGACAUUCAUUUAUUUAAUAUAAGUUUUCCGACGCCGGUGUUUCAAUUCGAAAGUUUUAAAUGUAACGUUAGCAGGCUGCUGGUUCUGUGUGCAUGGUAUAGUUCGUUCUUCUAUAAAAGAUUGUGUCGAAUAAGCUUGGAAUCCAACGACAGCGACCACGAUUGUUAUAUGAAGAGUUCAGAUGCAAACCCCUCUAGAAGCCACCGUCGUCAAAAAUUAGAUUAUGAUGUGCAAUGAAUGCUCUCCAGACAUAUUAUACGUUACCUCAAAUAAUUUUGCACCAAAUAAAAAACCCACUAAAUACCACACUCUGCCCGAUCUGAACUAUCUGGUAAUGCUGGAAGUACAUGGAGGGGCCUGAUAAAAAUGCUCGUUUAAACGAAACGUCGUCUGACGGACUUAAGUUAGAGGGUUUUGCAUCUGAACUCUUCAUAUAUAGAUUAUUAUUUACAUGCCACUUUACCUAAUUGAGGAUUUAUAUUAAAAUGUGUCUAGAAUGAUAAGAUGUCUUGUAACUUUUUUUCAGAUGGAUGAAUAUGUAAAAAGUAAGCUUAGAGAAUGGAAACUUGAGGAGUUAAUUCCCACAUUUGAAGGUAAGUGUGAAUGUAUAAUAUCUUACAGUGUUGUUUAUAGCAAUGCAAGUGUAAUGCACUGCUUUAUUCAAGGUUAAAGUUUUAUUUAAAAGGAUAGUUCACCCAAAAAUCUAAUUUUUGUAAUGUUAACUCACCCACAUGACGUUCUACACGAUUUAAGACCUUGCAUCUUCAGAACACAAGUUAAGAUAUUUUAGAUCCACCUCCGAGAUAUUCCAUACCACCACAUAGACAUCAUGCUAAUUGUUCCCGUCAAGGUCCAGAAAAGUACUUUAAUCAACAUAUUCUUCUCUACCCUGUCAGUCUACGACGUGCGUCCAUGAGAGCACUUCAACGCAUGCGCAUUCAGGUUGUGCGCCUAACACUCGAGCAUGCAACCUGGAUGCGUUUGCUUUGUGGUGUUCUCGUGGCGAAGUACGUCAUCGAGUGGACGCAGCUGAUUCAACAUUUUUCCACGCAUGAGCUGUUGUAUGCGUCCAGUCUGAGCGACGCUCCUGAUGACGAAAAUUACGUCAAGCGGGACACGGACAGCCGGACCAUACUUUUGCCUUAUCACUAAAUGCCGCAUGCGCCUGCCCCCAAAUGUUGAAUCAGCCACGUCCACGCGGUGACGUACUUCGCAUGUGUCGAACUUGUCUAUCCGCGCUUAUCCAAGAUUGAGUACAGUGUUCACAGGAUUUUGACGGACUUGUGUUGCUGGUGACGUCACAAAUUAAUUUGCAUAUUUGUGACAUGACGCUGUGUUUGCGUCUUGUUAGUGUUAGCACUUGAUAUCUGUUUUUCUUCUACUCUGAUCUUGUCACAUUAUACUGUAUUUUACAACUGAAUGCCACCAGCAGUCACUUUAACCGCUGCUUAAAUCCUGAUUUAUAAACGUAACAUCAUCGGUCAAAAUCAGAAUACAGCACAUCUCCAUUAAAUUUAGAUUUGAGUAGGUUUCGUCUUACUAUACGUUCUCGCACCACGUGAAACUCCACGUUGAAACGCCAGGACAGACGUCUUUGCAGAUACAUGGCUGUUGUUGUCUGUGCUGGAGAAGACGCGAGCAGUGAAUAAAGCCACACAUACCAGCUUCAUACACUUCAGCAGCAGGUUCAUUAGACAUGGUAAUACAGUGCAGCGGCUACACACCGUCAUAUUGUAAGAAAAUUGAGCAGUUUUCGGCUCAGAUUGAUCAGCGUAUGACAUCAUCAUCGAUUUGCACAGCGACGCAUGAAGUUCAACGCUCCCUGUCAUUGCCAUAGAAACCAAAUCAGAUAUUGCAAAAAAUGAGAGACAACCACGGGACACUCAAAUCGGAUCUGAACAGUUGCUAUAUACACAGUGUGGACAAUCAAUCAUUUUAAUUAUUUGUCAAGUAUGGUGACCCAUACCCGAAAUGUGACCUCUGCAUUUAACCCAUCCAGAGAGUAGUGAACACACGCACAGCAAGUGGUGACCACACGUACACCCGGAGCAGUGGGCAGCUAUCACUGCAGCGCCCGGGGAGCAAGUAGGGGUAAGGUGCCUUGCUCCAGGGCACAUCAGUCAUUACCCGCUGGCUCUGAGGAUUGAACCGGCAACCUUCUGAUCAAGAGUUCAACUCUCUAACCAUUAGGCCACGACUGCCCGACUUAAAUUAAGGUGUUUUUACAUGAUUGUAAAUUUCCUCAGUUUGGUCUGUUUCUGAGUCUGUAUAACUCGGAUCUACUUCAGAAUAACCCUACUGAAACUGGCAUUAAACGAGAGUGUGCACUAAAUAAACUUCAGUGCUACCAUGUAACUGACAACGUGACUCCAGAUGUUAUGCAUGACAUUUUAGAAGGGGUUGGAGGUUAUGAAAUAAAGCUUAUUCUCAAUUCUUUGAUUGAACAAAAACUCUUAACCCUUGAUAAACUCAAUAAUAGACUGACAAGCUUUGACUAUGGCUUCUCUGAUAGUCACAACAAGCCAUCUGCCAUAAAGCCUCAAGAUCUUAAAAAUCCUGAUGGGGCCAUCAGACAGACUGCAGCCCAGACAUGGUGCCUUCUGAGACUACUACCUCUUAUGAUUGGUGAUUUGAUUCCAGAAGGUCACAAGCAUUGGGAACUACUGCUUUCUUUGCUUGGCUGUAUGGAGAUGAUUUUUUCUCCAGCUUUGACUGCAGAGGCAGUUAUAUUUUUACAACAUCUGAUUGAGGAACACCACAGACUAUUUUUGGAGCUUUAUCCAGACAGGCAUCUGAAGCCAAAACACCACUUUAUGCUUCAUUAUCCUGGGGCUAUCAGGAAACUCGGACCUUUGGUCCAGUUUUGGUGCAUGCGUUUCGAGGCCAAACAUGGCUUUUUUAAGAGAGUAAGCCAUAUAACGUGCAAUUUUCGCAAUAUUUGUAAAACGCAGGCUUACCGACACCAAAUGAUGAUGUGCUACAUCAUGUUGUCUGGCCAGAUGUUCUCACAUGACUUGGAAGUUGGUCCAGGAUACACCACACUCCUGGCAUUAUUAGAGAAUUUUGAAAAAGUAAAAUGUGGUUUUGUUGGAGCUCCAUUGUUCUCAGAUGUCUACUUGCCUGCUUGGAUAAAAUUUAAGGGAACUACCUACAGGUCAGGAAUGACACUUUUUGUGUCUCACUCUGCUGAUGGUGAGCCCCAGUUCGGAACAAUUCAAAACAUUGUUCUCAUUGACACCAAAAUCAAAUUUAUUGUGAAACAAUGGGAGACAGUGGGAUUUAACAGACAUUUUUUUGCUUUCACUGUAUCUCCUUCUUCUGCACUUGACUUGGUGGACAUCCAGUCACUUGAUGAUCACCACCCUCUCCAUGUUGUGACGUCCUUUAAAGAGAAUGACAGUGAUCGUUACGUUUCUCUGAGAUACAGGCUAUUUUAGAGGCAACCAUAAAGGCUGAUGAUACAUUGUUUAAUUUAAGCAGUAUUUAUUGAAGAGCAUACGUUUUACACACUGCUUACUCCAGUUGUAAAGAGCAUCCCAUACAAUACUAGUUUUAACAUUUCAGCAUUUUCCUGUUUAAGCCAAAAUGGCUUAUCAUCAGUCUAAGCUGUGGAAGUGAGUAUUAGUUUAAUGUAAUUUUUAUUUUUUUGGUUUUAAUGUCAGAUAUAAUCGCACUAAAAUAAAGGUAAUGCUUGUCUACACCUACUACCCAAUACUACCUCUUGCAAUGAUAAACAAUAUUCUGGUAAUAAUAAUAUCAGUCAUCAUGGGCACAUCACAAAACAUAGAGAUGUUUACGAUUUGGUGACAUCAAAAUAAAUAUGGUAGUCAAAACUUGCUGAAAGUGAAGAUUAAGUUUACUGUUAACCAACUGUUGUUCAGUAACACUUAAAUAAAAUAUGAUAUAUUCUGUCAGAAUUAAUACAGGUAAAUUUCCCUUCUAUUGUACUGUGUGUCAAUCAGAAUUUAUAAUUCAACCUUGCAUAUCAUCUAUAUACUACAAUUUCUUUUAUAGGAAUCAAUCCCAGAUCCUGGCACAGUUACCAGAGCAGUAUCUGAAAAACCAAGUGCAGAGGAGCAUGGUCAUGAAUCCAAUAUAUCUCUGGGGGAAAUAACUGCAUUUAACGUAAGAGACAUCCUCCUGGCAACAGCUGAUGGAAAUGAUAUUAUUAAAGGUAUAGAAGAAAAGCACUGCAUUUCAAUUCAUCAGAGACGAGCCAUGGUUCGGAUAUUGGUGUCACAUCUGAUGAGGCGCUUUGGGGAAAAUCCAUCUGCAGGUACAAAAGUCAUCUUGGCUUCAUCUGUUGUUGAACAGUUUCCAUGCCUUAAGGACUGCCAAGGUAAAGGCUAUGAAGCAUGCAGUCCGGGUCGAAAUCACAGACCUGCCACAGGCUUCUUGGAGGAGCACCUUCGUAAUGUACGCAAAAGGGUCUAUAGACGAAGACCAAUUCAGAGUUUAUCAGACAACCCAGAAGAAACCACUAACUUAACUUUGCCAGAAUCAACUGUGGACAUAGAACGAGCAGUUCAAAUGAGUGGCUUAAAAAUAAUAUCUGGCCACCAAGUCAGAUUGAACAAUACAUGAAAGAGACAGCCAUCCAUCGGGCCAAAUGGAUUCGAGAUAAUGGAACCAAAGCAGUUAUGGAAAUAGUCAAGGAGUAUCCACGUCUCCUCGACACUCCGGGCAUGAUAUCCCAGGACUUUUCAAUUCUGAAUCCUGACUCUGCUUCAAAACUCACCGAGAACAGGGUGCCUGUCUUCAAGGAUACGAUCCUACAGUUCGCCAGCCGAGAAAAGCAGGCUCUUCAUUUGCUUUCUAACUUAGAAACUAUGUCAGCAGACCAUCAGAGUGACAUCGCCUUACUUGUUCUACCUGUAGUCCUUCCAACAUCAGCCUAUAAGAUCGGAAGGAAAAUGUUCAGACCAACAUUUAUUGAAACCAGGAAGGCUUUCAUAGACAUACAACCGAUUGGUACCAACAUGGCUGAAUACCUGCGAUCAAAAGGCACAAUCGAAUUUCCCUAUGUUCUCAUGCUGGGAGACAACCAGUGCUUUCAGGCUUUUGUUAUACUAAAUGGAGAAGCACUUGAGCAAGAAACAUUGCUGGCAGCAGUAGAUGUUUGCUUUAAAGCAUUCUACGUCUUCGAUAUCAAUUACCCCAAGCAGUGCUCCCCCGUCUGGCAGUUUCUACAGACUGUGGUGUUUGGACUUCUUGGAGAUGAAACUCCAUCAAUAAGAAUUCUACGUGCUUUUAUAUCUGCUGCUAAACAGUAGUUAUUGACCACAGCUUUGCUGAUGCAAUUUAUUUUGCUUUAAGUUCUUACUGUGACCCUUUCUCUCUAAGGAAAACAGAAUGUAUGCAGUUUGUUAUUUUGGCUGAAUGUUAACUGAUUCUGACACUGUGCAGAGGUGCAUAAAGUGUUACACAUGUUCUGAGAAUGUUUUAAUGCCAAUGUUUUUACAAUAUAUUUUUCUGUGACAAUUUCUCUCUUAGGAAAACAGAAUUUAUGCAGUUUGUUGCUUUGGCGAAUGUUUACUGAUUCUGACAUGCUGAUGUGCAUAGUGUAAAACAAGUUAAGAGAAUGUUUUAAAGCCAAUGAUUUUACUGUGACAAUUUCUCUCGUAGGAAAUGUAGAAUUUAUGCAGUUUAUUUUUUGCAGAAUGUUAACUGAUGCUGACAUUGUGCUGAUGUGCAUAGUGUUCAAAAAGUUGUAGAAAGUUUGAGAAUGUUUUAAUGUCAAUGUUCUUUUACACUACAGUUGAUGUAUUAUUCCUAACCAUUUCUUUCUUAGGAAAUGUAGAAUGUUUAUUUUGCUUAAUGAACUACUGAGGUUUUACUUGUUUACUCAACAAACCUGGCCGUUUAUUUUGAACAAUUCUUGUUCUACACAUGCUGAACGGGCAGGUUAAAAAAAUAAACUUGUU